UACGGGAGGCAGCAGUGGGGAAUAUUGCACAAUGGGCGAAAGCCUGAUGCAGCUAUGCCGCGUGUAUGAAGAAGGCCUUAGGGUUGUAAAGUACUUUCAUCGGGGAGGAAAAAACAAAACUAAUAAUUUUAUUUCUUGACGUUACCCGAAAAAGAAGCACCGGCUAACUCCGUGCCAGCAGCCGCGGUAAUACGGAGGGUGCUAGCGUUAAUCAGAAUUACUGGGCGUAAAGAGCACGUAGGUGGUUUUUUUAAGUCAGAUGUGAAAUCCCUGGGCUUAACCUAGGAACUGCAUUUUGAAACUGAAAUACUAGAGUAUCGUAGAGGGAGGUAGAAUUCUAGGUGUAGCGGUGAAAUGCGUAGAUAUCUGGAGGAAUACCUGUGGCGAAAGCGGCCUCCUAAACGAAUACUGACACUGAGGUGCGAAAGCGUGGGGAGCAAACAGGGAUUAGACC
rnacentral:rRNA from 1 species